UGGGCCCUGAAUCAAGGCUGUCGGCUUGCUGUAGCCGUUGGUUUCAAACAGGAGCCCAGAGGAAUGCCUUCCUGUGGUCUGUUGGCCGCUUCAGAACCUCAGAAGGGAGCGGCCGAUUCAGAUGGAAGCAACAUGU
rnacentral:snoRNA from 1 species